UACGUAGGGUGCAAGCGUUGUCCGGAAUUAUUGGGCGUAAAGAGCUCGUAGGCGGUUUGUCGCGUCUGGUGUGAAAAUCCAGGGCUUAACCCUGGACCUGCAUCGGGUACGGGCAGACUAGAGUGCGGUAGGGGAGAUCGGAAUUCCUGGUGUAGCGGUGAAAUGCGCAGAUAUCAGGAGGAACACCGGUGGCGAAGGCGGCUUUCUGGGCCUUACCUGACGCUGAGGAGCGAAAGCUGGGGGAGCGAACAGG
rnacentral:rRNA from 1 species